UACGUAGGGGGCAAGCGUUGUCCGGAAUCAUUGGGCGUAAAGAGCGUGUAGGCGGCCAGAAAAGUCCGCUGUGAAAACUCGAGGCUCAACUUCGAGCUGUCGGUGGAAACUUUCUGGCUAGAGUCCGGAAGAGGAGAAUGGAAUUCCUGGUGUAGCGGUGAAAUGCGCAGAUAUCAGGAGGAACACCGGUGGCGAAGGCGGCCUGCUGGGCAGUUUAGCUGACACUGAGGCGCGACAGCGUGGGGAGCAAACAGG
rnacentral:rRNA from 1 species